rnacentral:rRNA from 1 species
UACGUAGGGUGCAAGCGUUGUCCGGAAUCAUUGGGCGUAAAGCGCGCGUAGGCGGCCCGAUAAGUCCGCUGUAAAAGUCAACGGCUCAACUGUUGAAAGCCGGUGGAUACUGUCGGGCUAGAGUACGGAAGAGGCAAGUGGAAUUCCUGGUGUAGCGGUGGAAUGCGCAGAUAUCAGGAGGGACACCUAUAGCGAAGGCAGCUUGCUGGGACGUUACUGACGCUAAGGCGCGAAAGCGUGGGGAGCGAACAGG